CAAACUUGAAGUCAAAACGUUUAAAUUGAGAAAUAGUUACAACCUAUUUUGGUCUAAAAUUUCAUAAUAAAAAAUAUCAACUGUUUCAAAAAAAAAAAAUUGAAGUGAAAAGAAUGUAAAACGGAUCAAUCGAUGAGAAUGAUUAAGAAAAUGUUAUAUUGUUGUAAGAUGCAGGCUGAUUAACUGAUUUACUUAUCUACCAACAUACAUCCAGGGCUGGAAUUCCCUGGAGACAGACUGGGCACCUGCCUACAGACACAUGCCCGCUUGAGGAUGCCACCCUGCCUAUUACAAGUCCCCUCCUCACCUCUUGCAUGGUGCCUGCUGCUGUCUAACUGGAUCAAAGGCUGCUGGACUUAGGAAUCACAAU